AUGCUUCAGAAGUACAUAUACUAAAACUGGAAUGACACAAAGAUUAGCAUGACCCCUGAGCAAGAAUGACGGCAAAUUCAUGAAGCAUUCCAUUUAUCU
rnacentral:snRNA from 1 species